AGUCAGAUAACAUUAGGGUCAAUUUUUGACUUCAUGUCCAUCGGCGUCGUUGUCGCUUCGGCAGCUCCGUCCUGCCCUAGUCCCUGAGGAACGCAGCAAUAAUGGUGGAUAAUCGGCAGAUCCUCGGCUCAAAUUCUUCAUUCCUUCUGCUAAAAGUUUUUUACUCUCCAUCAACACGGCGCUCUGGUGUGGGUCUUCUAGAUGAUCGAGCUUAGAUAGCUCCAAGGCGAGGUUAGUUUUUGUGAGUGGAUACUAGAAUGGAUAUGUGUUUAGUUUUAUGUUUAAUAUAUUUUGUCCUAGUUAUGUAAUAUAAAGACUAGAUGUACCUUUUUAUGGGUUUGCAUAUGUAAAUAUAGAACUUUGGUAUUUUUUUAGGUUAUUUAAUUAAUUCUACUA